AGCUCCUGGAUGACUACAAGAAAGGGAACCUCCACAUCAUUCCAGACACUCCUCUGGCUGAGGAGAGAUCAGGAGAUGACAGUGAUGUGUUGAUAGGUUUGAAGUCUCCAGAGCAGCAAAGAGAGUGGGGAGUAGAAC
rnacentral:lncRNA from 1 species